ACAUGCAAGUCGAACGCGAGAGGGGCUUCGGCCCCAAUUGAGUGGCAAACGGGUGAGUAACGCGUGGGUGACCUACCUUCGAGUGGGGGAUAACGUCUCGAAAGGGACGCUAAUACCGCAUGACAUCCUGCCUUUGGACAGGCGGAGAUCAAAGCCGGGGAUCGCAAGACCUGGCGCUGGGAGAGGGGCCCGCGUCCGAUUAGCUAGUUGGUGGGGUAAUGGCUCACCAAGGCUUCGAUCGGUAGCCGGCCUGAGAGGGCGGACGGCCACACUGGGACUGAGACACGGCCCAGACUCCUACGGGAGGCAGCAGUGGGGAAUUGUUCGCAAUGGGCGCAAGCCUGACGACGCAACGCCGCGUGGAGGAUGAAGGUCUUCGGAUUGUAAACUCCUGUUGACCGGGACGAACAUCCAUCGGGUUAAUAACCCGGAGGACUGACGGUACCGGUUGAGGAAGCCCCGGCUAACUCUGUGCCAGCAGCCGCGGUAAUACAGAGGGGGCAAGCGUUGUUCGGAAUUACUGGGCGUAAAGGGCGCGUAGGCGGCCACUUAAGUCAGACGUGAAAUCCCUCGGCUCAACCGGGGAACUGCGUCUGAUACUGGGUGGCUUGAAUUCGGGAGAGGAAUGCGGAAUUCCAGGUGUAGCGGUGAGAUGCGUAGAUAUCUGGAGGAACACCGGUGGCGAAGGCGGCAUUCUGGACCGACAUUGACGCUGAGGCGCGAAAGCCAGGGGAGCAAACGGGAUUAGAUACCCCGGUAGUCCUGGCCCUAAACGAUGAAUGCUUGGUGUGGCGGGUAUCGAUCCCUGCCGUGCCGAAGCUAACGCAUUAAGCAUUCCGCCUGGGGAGUACAGUCGCAAGGCUGAAACUCAAAGGAAUUGACGGGGGCCCGCACAAGCGGUGGAGCAUGUGGUUUAAUUCGACGCAACGCGAAGAACCUUACCCAGGCUCGAAAUGCAGGUGAUCGACGGCGAAAGUCGUUUUCCGCAAGGACACCUGUAUAGGUGCUGCAUGGCUGUCGUCAGCUCGUGUCGUGAGAUGUUGGGUUAAGUCCCGCAACGAGCGCAACCCCUGUUGCUAGUUACAAGUGUCUAGCGAGACUGCCGGUCUGAAACCGGAGGAAGGUGGGGAUGACGUCAAGUCAGCAUGGUCUUUAUGUCCAGGGCUAUACACACGCUACAAUGGUCAGUACAGUAGGUAGCCACCUCGCGAGAGGGCGCUAAUCCUCAAAGCUGGUCUCAGUUCGGAUUGCAGUCUGCAACUCGACUGCAUGAAGGUGGAGUUGCUAGUAACCGCGCGUCAGCCAUAGUGCGGUGAUGCGUUCCCGGGCAUUGCACACACCG
rnacentral:rRNA from 1 species